CAAGUCUGAAACUUAAAUUCUUAAAAUAUUUUUUCAAUCUUGUUAUGAAUCAAUAUACGAAAUAUAUUUGACUGAUGCAAACUGUUCUCGCAUCUUUGAUCUUCCAAACUUACAACGUUUUCGGUCGGACAGAAUUCAAGCUUGGGGUUCAAAGGAACUUUUGCUUCCUCAAAUUCUUUUACAGGUAUAAGAUGAUAAACGGAGGAAAAAAAUCAUAGAAAGAACAUCAUGAAAUUUAGAAACCGGGUGAUGAUGCGGCCUGAACAUAUUGUAUUCAAGGAAGGCAUUGGACGUUAUGGAAUGGUUGCAUGGGAAGGAUGUCAAACAGAGUUCUUACUUAUGAAGGGAGAUUGGAUUCUUGGAUCAUAGAUCUGGAUUUAUUUUCUUCAGGUUUUUGAAAGAAUGAUAAUAGAAGAAGAAACGGUAGAACUGGAUACAGGUUUUUGAAAACAAGGAAACUAUGCAAUUAAAAGUAAUUAAGCGAAUACAAUCUCCAUAUAACAAUGAUUUUUAUCAUUAGUUACUGAAAAGCAUACAAAUUACAAAAUGCAAAGCACACAAAAGAAAAUGAUGAUGAUCGUGAUCGUGAUCGAGCUGCAUAUUGAUCCAACCACCAAGUAGUAAAUGAUCUUAUUAAAAAAAAAAGAAAAAAUUAAAAAGUACGUAGAACAAACACAACCAAAAAUAAUUUUUAACUUCAACAGGCAACUAACAUCAUCAUCCUUGCUCCUUUAAAUUUAAACGGACUCGUGCUUUAGCUGGAGAUUUGUUUGACAUUCAGGACAAGCAAUGGAUAUAACCUCUAUAUGCACAGCCGAUUGGGUUGUCCUAGUUUGGAUAGAUUUGGUCUUUUUAACCAAAAAUGCAGUUGCAGCGCCUUGCAUUUUUCAAUUCAUAGUUAAAGCACGAGUCCUUGAUCCCGGGGGAUGAGAAAGCAGAUCAAGUCGCAUUGAAUGAUAGCAAUAGGGAUUUUUACAUGUUAAAGGAAGAGUUGGAAGCUUCAGUAUGACAGAAAUAGACAAACUGUAACAAUUUUCAUAAAAGGCUGUAAAUAGGACUGAGAUGGUCUAGAGAGCAAAGGACGCUGCGGAUCAGCUGAGGAAAUGGAGAGGGUAAAAGCAGAGAAAAAAGGUUGCACUGGCUUCAUUUCACGAUGCAGAAAGAAAGUAAUCCAGCUAGAUUAGACAAGACUGCAUCUAUGUACAAGGCACUGCCAUUAGGUAAGGUUUUGAACAUGAAAGCCUGAACAAAUCCAGGCUUGAUAUUAUUUAUUCUUUAACUAGCGAGUAUUGUCUGUGAAGACUUGAACAUGACGAAAUCUAGUACAUGUUCAUGAUAUAAAAAUCAUGAACAUAAAGUGACUAGUGACUAGUGUAUGUCAUUUUAAUAUCGCAACACCAGUUACAAGACCUCUAUAUAUCUGACACCGAAAAAAAACAUAAAGUGCAAAUACAAAACCAUCACAACUAACCUACCACUAAAAUUUGACGUUUGUUGAGAUUGGUUUACUAUGCAGAGUAUGGGAAAGUAAUGAAAGGAAAAAAAGAAAAAAAAGUGGCCUUGAAAAACUAAUGCAGCCAUGUUGAAAACAUUAGUAGCCUAAGUUAACAUAACAGCUUCAAAGUUACUUUUCCAAACAAAAUGCCCCAAAAGUAAAAACAGAAACGGUCCUUUUUGGGUAUUUUCCGGAAGAAGGAUACUAACAUGCUUGUCCUGUGACUUCUCUUCUCUCCAGAAACUUGUAGUUUUGCCUUCUGAAAUGUGUGAUUGUUGUUCUUUUUAGGGCUUAUAAAUAGUCGAGCAUUACGAGUUUCACUCAAUGCAGACAACAAAAACAAAUACUUUCAAAGUUGUAAAUGAGAGUUGCAGGGAACUGAACCAAUAUUAAGGGGCAGUCGACUCAAAUAUGGUUCAGUUUCCUCCAACAUCUCACCUCCGACUUUCAUGAAUGAGAAGAAGCAAGAAGGAUAUCAUUGAUGUUGGUAAGCGAAAACAAGAGAGUGUUCAUGAAAUUGCAA